ensembl:snoRNA
AUACUAUGAUGAUUGUGUAGUUCAGCAGAUGGAAUCAUGAAGAGAUUUACCAUUUGCCUGAUGUAUCU